rnacentral:rRNA from 1 species
UUGGAGGGCAAGUCUGGUGCCAGCAGCCGCGGUAAUUCCAGCUCCAAUAGCGUAUAUUAAAGUUGUUGCAGUUAAAAAGCUCGUAGUUGAAUUUCGGGGUUAGUAGGUUGGUCAUGCCUCUGGUAUGUACUGGUCUCACUGAUUCCUCCUUCCUGAUGAACCUUACUGCCAUUUAUUUGGUGUUUUGGGGAAUUUGGACUGUUACUUUGAAAAAAUUAGAGUGUUUAAAGCAAGCUAACGCUUGAAUACAUUAGCAUGGAAUAAUGAAAUAGGACGUUCGAUCCUAUUUUGUUGGUUUCUAGGAUUGACGUAAUGAUUAAUAGGGAUAGUUGGGGGCAUUAGUAUUCAAUUGUCAGAGGUGAAAUUCUUGGAUUUAUUGAAGACUAACUACUGCGAAAGCAUUUGCCAAGGAUGUUUUCAUUAAUCAAGAACGAAAGUUAGGGGAUCGAAGACGAUCAGAUACCGUCGUAGUCUUAACCAUAAACUAUGCCGACUAGGGAUCGAAUGAUGUUAAUUUUUUAAUGACUCAUUCGGCGCCUUACGGGAAAC